GGAGUUCAUUAGAAGAUAAAAGCUUAUGAUGAAAAUAUCAAAUAUAUUUUAUUUAUUAACAAAUUAAUUACCAUACUUGGUUGCUCAACCAUCAACAGCUUGACGAUUGGCUUUUGAGUCAUAUUUUCCAACAUGAAAUACCCUAUAAAAUUACAUCUAUCAGACCUAGCUCCAAGUUUAUCUGUUUUCAAAUGCUUUACAUAAGUUGAACAUCCCCAAACCCUA
rnacentral:lncRNA from 1 species